rnacentral:rRNA from 1 species
UGGGGAAUUUUGGACAAUGGGCGAAAGCCUGAUCCAGCAAUGCCGCGUGUGUGAAGAAGGCCUUCGGGUUGUAAAGCACUUUUGUCCGGAAAGAAAUCCUUGGCUCUAAUACAGUCGGGGGAUGACGGUACCGGAAGAAUAAGCACCGGCUAACUACGUGCCAGCAGCCGCGGUAAUACGUAGGGUGCAAGCGUUAAUCGGAAUUACUGGGCGUAAAGCGUGCGCAGGCGGUUUGCUAAGACCGAUGUGAAAUCCCCGGGCUCAACCUGGGAACUGCAUUGGUGACUGGCAGGCUAGAGUAUGGCAGAGGGGGGUAGAAUUCCACGUGUAGCAGUGAAAUGCGUAGAGAUGUGGAGGAAUACCGAUGGCGAAGGGCAGCCCCCUGGGCCAAUACUGACGCUCAUGCACGAAAGCGUGGGGAGCAAACAGGAUUAGAUACCCUGGUAGUCCACGCCCUAAACGAUGUCAACUAGUUGUUGGGGAUUCAUUUCCUUAGUAACGUAGCUAACGCGUGAAGUUGACCGCCUGGGGAGUACGGUCGCAAGAUU